rnacentral:rRNA from 1 species
AUUGAACGCUGGCGGCAUGCCUUACACAUGCAAGUCGAACGGCAGCGGGGGAGAAGCUUGCUUUUCCUGCCGGCGAGUGGCGAACGGGUGAGUAAUACAUCGGAACGUGCCCUGUAGUGGGGGAUAACUAGUCGAAAGAUUAGCUAAUACCGCAUACGACCUGAGGGUGAAAGUGGGGGACCGCAAGGCCUCAUGCUAUAGGAGCGGCCGAUGUCUGAUUAGCUAGUUGGUGAGGUAAAGGCCUACCAAGGCGACGAUCAGUAGCUGGUCUGAGCGGACGAUCAACCACACUGGGACUGAGACACGGCCCAGGCUCCUACGGGAGGCAGCAGUGGGGAAUUUUGGACAAUGGGCGAAAGCCUGAUCCAGCAAUGCCGCGUGUGUGAAGAAGGCCUUCGGGUUGUAAAGCUCUUUCGGCAGGAACGAAACGCUCUAGAUUAAUACUCUGGGGUAAUGACGGUACCUGAAGAAGAAGCACCGGCUAACUACGUGCCAGCAGCCGCCGUAA